rnacentral:rRNA from 1 species
GACGAAUGCUGGCGGCGUGCUUAACACAUGCAAGUCGAACGGAAAGGCCCUGCUUGCAGGGUACUCGAGUGGCGAACGGGUGAGUAACACGUGGGUGAUCUGCCCUGCACUUCGGGAUAAGCCUGGGAAACUGGGUCUAAUACCGGAUAGGAGCCAUUUUUAGUGUGAUGGUUGGAAAGUUUUUUCGGUGUAGGAUGAGCUCGCGGCCUAUCAGCUUGUUGGUGGGGUAAUGGCCUACCAAGGCGGCGACGGGUAGCCGGCCUGAGAGGGUGGACGGCCACAUUGGGACUGAGAUACGGCCCAGACUCCUACGGGAGGCAGCAGUGGGGAAUAUUGCACAAUGGGCGCAAGCCUGAUGCAGCGACGCCGCGUGGGGGAUGACGGCCUUCGGGUUGUAAACUCCUUUCGCUAGGGACGAAGCUUUUUGUGACGGUACCUAGAUAAGAAGCACCGGCUAACUACGUG